rnacentral:tRNA from 1 species
GGGUAUGUAGCUCAAGUGACAAAGCAUAUGCUUAGCAUGCAUGAAGCCUGGGUUCAAUUCCCAGUAUAUCCU